UGAACGCUGGCGGCAGGCCUAACACAUGCAAGUCGAGCGGAUGACGGGAGCUUGCUCCUGGAUUCAGCGGCGGACGGGUGAGUAAUGCCUAGGAAUCUGCCUGGUAGUGGGGGACAACGUUUCGAAAGGAACGCUAAUACCGCAUACGUCCUACGGGAGAAAGCAGGGGACCUUCGGGCCUUGCGCUAUCAGAUGAGCCUAGGUCGGAUUAGCUUGUUGGUGAGGUAAUGGCUCACCAAGGCGACGAUCCGUAACUGGUCUGAGAGGAUGAUCAGUCACACUGGAACUGAGACACGGUCCAGACUCCUACGGGAGGCAGCAGUGGGGAAUAUUGGACAAUGGGCGAAAGCCUGAUCCAGCCAUGCCGCGUGUGUGAAGAAGGUCUUCGGAUUGUAAAGCACUUUAAGUUGGGAGGAAGGGUUGUAGAUUAAUACUCUGCAAUUUUGACGUUACCGACAGAAUAAGCACCGGCUAACUCUGUGCCAGCAGCCGCGGUAAUACAGAGGGUGCAAGCGUUAAUCGGAAUUACUGGGCGUAAAGCGCGCGUAGGUGGUUUGUUAAGUUGGAUGUGAAAGCCCCGGGCUCAACCUGGGAACUGCAUCCAAAACUGGCAAGCUAGAGUACGGUAGAGGGUGGUGGAAUUUCGUGU
rnacentral:rRNA from 1 species